rnacentral:rRNA from 1 species
AUCAGCAGCACGUCGUCUUCACACAACCCACUGAAGCUAAGCAGGUGUGAGCCUGGUCAGUACCUGGAUGGGAGACCUCCUGGGAAAAACUAAGGUUGCUGCUGGAA